CCGAGUUUACAAACUCCCAAACCCUUUGUGAACCAUACCUAUCGUUGCUUCGGCGGGACCGCCCCGGCGCCCUCGGGCCCGGAACCAGGCGCCCGCCGGAGGCCCCAAACUCUAUGUUUUUAGUGGUUUCCUCCUCUGAGUGACAUAAACAAAUAAAUAA
rnacentral:misc_RNA from 1 species